ACGCUCGACACCUACGGGAGGCAGCAGUCGGGAAUAUUGCGCAAUGGGAGGAAACUCUGACGCAGUGACGCCGCGUAUGGGAAGAAGGUUUUCGGAUUGUAAACCAUUUUAGACAAGGAAGAAACAAGACAGUAACUUGUAGAAUAAGCUCCGGCUAACCUACGUGCCAACAGCCGCGGUAAUCUGAGCGGGCUGGCAAGGC
rnacentral:rRNA from 1 species